rnacentral:rRNA from 1 species
CACGUAGGUGGUUUUGUAAGUCGAAUGUGAAAUCUCACGGCUCAACCGUGAAACUGCGUUCGAAACUACAAGACUUGAGUUCGGGAGAGGUGUACGGAAUUCCUGGUGUAGCGGUGGAAUGCGUAGAUAUCAGGAAGAACACCAAUGGCGAAGGCAGUACACUGGCCUGGAACUGACACUGAGGUGCGAAAGCGUGGGGAGCAAACAGGAUUAGAUCCCUGGUAGUCC